rnacentral:lncRNA from 1 species
UGGGUGUCCUACUAUACAGAUACAGCCCUACAGAUAUCGCUAUUCUGUAUCUGUAUACUAUACAGAUAUCACUUUAAAGCUCCGCCCACUGCAGUACUGAGUAUUGUUUGAACCUGUGUGACCUCAGAAUGUGUAUUCAAGUUGCAUUCCAAUGACGAUGACAAUUGUCGAUUUCAAAACUUGAAUGUGUAUGAUUGUGUUACAAAAUCAACCAUGUAAAUUUCAGCGUGCAUGUUUAGUGAAUGUCAAGUCUGAAGCGUAGGACAACUCGUACACUUUUGUUUCAAAUUCGACAAUGUUUUGUUAUUUGUUUUUACUGUUGAAAUUAGUUGUUUUGUUAAAAUAGAUAAUUAUUCACCUUGCGCGAUGUAUUAUUGUUGACCAUUCGAGAUUCUUUUUUGCGAACCCGUCUUCGUCGUAAUAUGUGAUUUUGAUAUUACUACGCGG